AUACCGGCUCUGUUUAGUAGAAUCACCGCGCAGUAUUCAAAUCUCGAUCGCUGGUGUUCGACUGGUAGGUCUAAAAUUAUUGUGUUUACGAAGUGAGUGCUUACUGAUUGGUGAUAAAGUGCGUGUAUUUUGUCAUCUACUUGUAAUUCUAAAAGUGUUUAGUUGAAAAUUAUACCACCGUCAUGGCUCAAGUGAACGAAACGCCGGCUAUCAACAAAAAGCCGGAGGACAAACAUAACGCAGGUAGUUGGAGAAAUUUUCUGAAAUUAUUUUGAUGAAUUUUAUGUAAGUGAUACGUUUAUUUAAAUAAAGCUUGGGUCAUCUCAAAUUUAAAAUGUUAUUUGUUAGAAUAAGUUACUCUUAAAUUGUCACAUUGAUUAUUGAAAACGUGUUAUUCCAAUGUACAAGGUACCUAGAUAUAUAUGUAUUAUGUUUACACAAAUGUAAUAAUGUGAGUAUAACAUUUGCUGAAACCGUGAUUACUGUUUGUGUUAACUCUAUAAAUGCUGUUGUUUUCUAUUGUUUUGGUUCAAAAAGUGUAAGGUUGUACGGUUGUACGUUUUGUGAACUGAAUACGUUUCACCAUUAGCUAGAAUCGUAGAUCUUCACAGGGAUUCUCCUAAUUCAAGUGCGCGCGCAGCCUUUUCAGGGCGCAGGACGCACCCUACCUUAGAGUUAUAAAACUUUAGACAUUCACAUUUUACUUGAAACAUACUUUUUAUACACAAAUAUUCCUAAUUUCGCUUUUUGAACAAAGGAACUUGACAUCAGUGAUGUUAAGUU